rnacentral:misc_RNA from 1 species
GGGAUAAAGUAUAUCUGCCCUGCUGGAAGGUACAUGCCAUGAACAAACAAAAUAAAAUAUCAGCAUUCCACAACUAGAUUGUGCCAUUUUUUAAAAAGAAAGAAUUUGUGAAUGUGCUACAAGCAUAAGUAUAGCCGAUAUCCUUGUACAAAAAUGUAAAUCACAUCUCUGAAGAAUCAAAAGUGCUCUCCUCAUCAUAACACCAGUUCCCUUCUUGUCUGGAACUCUUCUCUCCCCCCCUCAACAUAUUAAAAAAAAAAGAGAGAAAAAAAAGAAAAAAAGAGAUUCCAUGUUAUUUUAUUUUAUUUUAUU